GUGGCGCCACUAACGUCAUUAGUCUAUUUCCCGCCAGUUCAGUUAUUCAAACCUAAAUUACAAAGAAGAAAACACCCACAUCAUUUUUACUUAUUAUCACGAUUUGACAAAGCCAAGACCUCUUAAUUACUAUUAAUACUGAUUUAUUCUCUUAAUCUGCUAUCUAAAUGAACAUCCCAGACCCAUCCUCUUUGUCAUAUCACACCGCUUGUCUCCUCCAAGAAAGCCUUAGAUCCAAAGACCUCUUAGCCGGAAAAUCCAUCCACGCUCGAAUAAUAAAAGCCGGGCUUCACUUUAGUGUCUUCUUACUGAACAAUCUCAUGAAUGUUUACUCCAAAACCGGGUCGUUUUACGAUGCUCAAUCCUUGUUUGAUGAAAUGCCUGUGAAGACCAUUUUCUCGUGGAACACCCUUUUAUCAGCUUAUUCCAAACAGGGUAAAAUGGCUGAAGCCAAUGAAAUUUUUAAUAAGAUACCGAAUCCUGAUUCUGUUUCGUGGAGCACAAUGAUCGUGGGGUAUAAUCAGAUGGGUCAUUUCCAAAGUGCUAUAAAAGUGUUUGAUGAAAUGAUUAAAGAACGAGUUACGCCAACGCAGUACACAAUUACUAGUGCACUUGCAUCAUGUGCUGCUAUUGAAACUUUAGAUAUUGGUCGAAAGGUACAUUCUUGUGUUGUUAAGUUUGGGCUUAGUAGUUAUGUUAGUGUUGCAAAUUCUUUGUUAAAUAUGUAUGCAAAGUCAGGUGACCCCAUGAUAACAAGGGUUAUUUUUGAUAGGAUGGGACAUAGGGAUACGUCGAGUUGGAAUGUUAUGAUUUCAUUGCAUAUGCAGUAUGGUCAAGUUGAUCUUGCACGUGAACAAUUUUGUAGGAUGAAUGAGAGAGAUAUCGUGACAUGGAAUUCAAUGAUUGCAGGUUACAAUCAACAUGGGUUUGAUCUUGAUGCUCUGGGUACAUUUGGUAAUAUGCUGAGGGAUUCUUUGUUGCUUCCUGAUAAAUUCACGUUUAUUAGUGCAUUAUCAGCUUGUGCCAAUCUUGAGAUGUUGAAACUUGGGAAACAAAUUCAUGCUCGUAUUGUUAGCACCAAAUUUGAUACAUAUGGACCAGUAGGAAAUGCUUUGAUUUCAAUGUAUGCAAAGUCCGGUGGGGUUCAAAUUGGUCAAAAGAUUGUAGAGAAGAGUGGAAUUUCACACCUUGAUGUCAUUGCAUUUACAUCCUUAUUAGAUGGAUAUAUUAAGCUUGGAGAUUUAAAACCAGCUAGAGAGAUCUUUGACACAUUGAGAGACCGUGAUGUGGUUGCCUGGACAGCCAUGAUUGUUGGAUACUUGCAGAAUGGCUUGAAUAAUGAUGCAUUGGAGCUAUUCAGAUUAAUGGUUAGAGAUGGUCCAAAACCAAACAACUUCACUCUGGCAGCCAUGUUGAGUGUCAGCUCAAGCUUGACUUCAUUGGAUCAUGGCAAACAAAUUCAUGCAAGUGCGAUAAGAACUGGACAAGCAUCCUCAGUUUCUGUGAACAAUGCUCUAAUUACCAUGUAUUCUAGAGCUGGAAACAUUAAUUGUGCAAGGCAAAUAUUCAGUCAGAUACAUUGGUCCAGAGAUACUGUAUCUUGGACAUCCAUGAUAAUGGGUCUGGCUCAACAUGGUCUUGGAGAAGAAGCCCUUGAGCUGUUUGAAGAAUUGCUGGCAGCUGGAAUCAAGCCUGACCAUAUAACAUAUGUGGGUGUGCUCUCUGCUUGUACACAUGUGGGACUGGUAGAACAGGGCCACAGGUAUUACAAUAUGAUGAAAGAUUUUCACAAAAUUGAACCAACACUAAGCCACUAUGCAUUGAUGGUUGACCUUCUUGGGCGUGCUGGAUUGGUACAAGAGGCAUAUGAUUUUAUUGAAAAAAUGCCCAUUGAACCAGAUGUUAUAACUUGGGGUUCACUCUUAUCUUCUUGUAAGGUUUAUAAGAAUGUAGACCUCGGAAAGGUGGCAGCAGAAAGAUUGCUCUGUAUUGACCCUGACAACAGUGGGGCCUACUCAGCCCUAGCUAAUUUGUAUUCAGUUUGUGGAAAGUGGGAAGAUGCUGCAAAAAUUCGCAAGUUAAUGAAGGAUGGAGGGGUGAAGAAAGAACAAGGAAUUAGUUGGGUUCAGAUAAAGAACAAAGUCCAUAUCUUCGGAGCUGAGGAUGGGCUUCAUCCACAGAAAGAUGAAGUCUACAAGAUGAUGGCAAAGAUAUGGGAAGAUAUAAAAAAGAUGGGCUUUGUUCCAGAUACUGAAUCAGUAUUACAUGACCUUGAGGAAGAAGUUAAGGAGCAGAUGCUUAAACAUCAUAGUGAGAAAUUGGCCAUUGCUUUUGCACUAAUAAGUACUCCUGAGAACACCACUUUGAGGAUCAUGAAAAAUCUCAGAGUCUGUAAUGACUGCCACUCUGCCAUUAAAUUUAUAUCUAAACUCUCUGGCAGAGAAAUUAUCAUAAGAGAUGCUACUCGUUUCCACCAUUUCAAGGAUGGUUUGUGUUCUUGUUGCGACUAUUGGUAGGUAAUGGAUGGAGUUGGAAAGAACAACCCAGCAAAAAGUCCAAUACUAUUUAUUGUUAACGAGGUUGAUCCUUGACAUCAAACAGUAGCUACUCUUUCACGAGUUUUCAAGUGAAUUCCACCCUGAUGGACUUGCCUCUAGAGUUCUGCUUCUUGGCUUCAACACGUGAUUGCGGAGUUGAAUAUUGUGGCCUUCUUGUGGCCUUGAGCAUGUAUGUUGAUUGCACUUGGCUGCUCUAGUUUCAGGAAGACACAACAAUGUAUUGCUACCCUUGUUAAUGUCAUCUGAGGUUGGGCAUUUUUCUUUAAGGAAAUAUAUUUCUCAAGUAUAUCUGCACGGUAUCUGGAUUUCACCGCAGAACAUAGCUAAUCUCUUUCUGGAAUCAAUCUCUGCAGCACAUAAAAUAGGGUAGAGCUUCCUCAGUCCUUAUUAAAAGCUCUUAUGUUUCUGGUUCUUGUUUCUAAGGAGCUUCUCCCAAUUACUUCUGGUAAUAGGAUACGGCAGCUUGCUCUGACCAAGACUCCCAACAUUUUUUGUAUACAUGAUGCAUAUUACUCUCCUUGAACGUGUGUGAAGAGACAUGGUAAUGAUCUCAGUUCAAAAUGGCAGUGAACUUCGUUUUUGCUUACAGAGAAAAGAAAAAGGGGAAAUCAGAAAAGGCUGGUUUUCUUUACUAUGCUAAUCAGCUGAAUAUUGCAGUGAAGAUUGUAAAGGAGAAAUUGUUAAAAGAUCUUAGAAACAGUCAUUCACAUGUCAACCAGUAAAUCAGUAUCUAACAGCAGUGACCUCAUGCGAGCAUCAACUUCCCAGGGCAAGAAGAAGAAUAUGGCUUAAGGGAGUGGAAAAUUCAUGAAAUUGGUUUGUAUACUAUGUUUUAUGAAUGUGAAUUGCUGCUUCACUGUCCCUCAUUGACUCCUGAUGUUAUUGAUACAAUGAUUACUGACAUCCUUUAGGACCUCUGAAUCUCUGUUUACUGCUUUUCCUCUUUCUGAAUUUCUGAAGAAUUUUGUUUUUAUAUUUGUAGAACAACUAAUAAAACUUCUACCCGUUCU